CCCCACAUUCUGCGCUUCAUGUGGGGCUGAAAUCUUCCGUCCCUUCGGGACG
rnacentral:sRNA from 1 species